AGCGAACGUUAGCGGCAGGCCUAACACAUGCAAGUCGCGCGAGAAUGGGGCUUCGGCUCCUAGUAAAGCGGCGGACGGGUGAGUAACACGUGGAUAAUCUGCCCUUCGGCGGGGGACAACAGUCCGAAAGGAUUGCUAAUACCGCGUAAGUCGGCGAGGUCUUCGGAUCUUGUCGGGAAAGAUGGCCUCUUCAUGAAAGCUAUCACCGAAGGAUGAGUCCGCGUCCCAUCAGCUAGUUGGCGGUGUAAGAGACCACCAAGGCUAAGACGGGUAGCUGGUCUGAGAGGAUGAUCAGCCACACUGGAACUGAGACACGGUCCAGACUCCUACGGGAGGCAGCAGUGGGGAAUAUUGGGCAAUGGGCGCAAGCCUGACCCAGCCAUGCCGCGUGAGUGAUGAAGGCCUUC
rnacentral:rRNA from 1 species